GCGGGGACGCGGUCCAGCUCCGUCAAGGAGACGCGGGUGGGACUGAAACAAAGCAAGAGGCCAGGCAACAGACCCCUCCUGCCCUUGGCAUAGCGGGUCGCCGCACUGAAUGCACCUCCCCCUGGGGGGCGGGAAGCGCCUCGCUCGGAAGCUGGCGCCACGCGUGGGAGACCGGCCUCCUCGACUCCACUGCCCCUACCUGUGUCGCGCCUGCCUGUCUCGCGAGGCCGCCCCGAAGAUCGCCUGCCAGGCGCCGCUCUUCUCCGCCUCUUGCUUCGGUCGGGUGCCGACCGGCCGCCUCUUCCCCGCCGUUUCCUCCAGAGGCUCCGCCCGGCUCGCCGGUUUGGGGCGGAGAACGCGCCCGCACGCUCCGCGGUUCCCGCGCGCGACCCGCCCCUCCUAGUCCCGCCCCUUCGUGAUGGACAGCCAGCUCAGCCAGUGGGAGGGCGCGUCGUAGGGCUGUGGCUUCUAGAGAGGCGCCUUCUAGAGAGGCGCCUUCCAGAGGACGCAUCUUCCCAGAAGACCCCGGCAAAUCCGAAGUCGAGUUUUUAUUGGUUGAGUCGAUUAGGUGGGAUUUCUGAUUGGAUUAGGCCUGGGAUCAGAUCCCAUCCCCGGAAGUGGGAGUGGUUCUGCUCUCAGUCUGGGUCUCGAGCAGCUGUGUGGUAGGACUGUGGAACGGGUAGCGGCCGCCAGCUAAGUCCUUUACACUCUCCGUGCCCUCCGCGCCCUCGGCUCUCCUGGGCCCAGGCGUUCUGUUGAGGUUUCCGGGGUCUCCACCGAGCCAUACCCUCUGCGCUCACCUUCACGGCGUAAGCCACGUGGAGCUGACGUCCUGAGGGCGUCGGGCGGUGGACCAGGCGGUCCUAGGAGAGAUAGGCUGGGGGCCGCUGCCCCGAGCCCAGCUACACCGCCUGGCGGUUGCGGUUCUUCUACUGUCAGCCGCGCUAGGGCACAUCUGGAACCAAAGCUGCAUUUCACUGAGUGUUAAGAGCAGCAGGGCCGGAGAUUUAGCUCGGUGGUUCCGUCGCCUGCCUCUCAAGCGCAAGGUCCCGAGUUCGAUACACGGUGCCAAAAAAGAACAGCAGGCUCCACAGACAGAACCAUUCACUGCUGGGAUCUGGAAAAUGUAAAGUGUACAUGAAAAACAAAACAAAAGCCUGUUUACAAAAUCCCCAGCUUCAUCUGCAGGUCGAAGCCGAACAGUUUAACCUGUCCCCUCUGGGCGUCCCGGGGCUCCCACCCCCUACCCGCCUUAGACCUCGGUGGUUGGGACGUUUUGGGGACGAGGGGGAAGGGCUAUUCAGUAUAGCCCACCUGGUUCUGGCAGGAAGGCGACAGCCUGUGUUAAGACACAGAGCUCGGUGGGCCGGGGAUUUAGCUCAGUGGUUUCGCCGCCUGCUGCGCAAGCACAAGGACCCAAGUUCAAUCCGGGGUACCAAAAAAAAAACAGAGCUCGAGGCGGGGAUGGGCGUCUUGGCAGUAGUAGUCACCAGAAUGUCUUUACUGUAUGUAUAAUCGCCCCGGAUAGUGCUGAGAGUUCACUUUACAGCAUCUAUACGCUGCCCAGGGAUGGACAUGGAACCGGGCCGACCCACUUCCAGGCCUGGUAGGCUGGUGUAGAGCUGCUCCCCUUCCUUCUGGUGUCCUAUCCCCUCUUCAUUCCUGAGAACUCUGGGACGGAUCGCUAUUCCUGAUUUUAUGGAUGAAGAAGUGAAGAGACAGAAAUUAAACAGCCAGCCUGGAGUUACAGAGGCCUUUCAAGCCUAGAAGUGGUGAAUUUCCUGGCAGGACCUAAGAGCAACAGCUGCUUCUGAACUGGGGCCCCAACAGUCCAGAGAACAUGGAUGAGCCCAACUUGGGUGGAGGACAGAAACCUUACUGGAAAGAGGACCUACACCCUAGCCGGCUGCUGACAGCUACCAUCUCUACCCUGUGAAGCCAGAUCCCUUAGACCUUCUGCCUCCUGAUAUGGACUCACACAAGACACUACAGUGAGCUCCAGGCCUCGACUGGAUCCUUCAGAUCUCCAGCACAGAGACAGCCCUUUUGCACUUUUACACACCUGACACUGCAGGCAGCCACUGGCACAGGAAGGAUCCUCCUGCUGGCGCACUUUCCAGAUCAAGGUGUAUAGGGAGCCAGACCUGAGCAGGACUGAGCACUGGAUUCCAGUUCUGGGUCACAGAACCUCGCUCUGCACCAUAAAGGAAUUCAGGCGUUGGUGCAAACCCACAAGAAUGGCCAAGGAAGCACUUUACUCACACUCUCAAAGAUUAGAAGAAGAUUAGAAGAAACCCCUUCGUGAGUGGAUUAACUGUAUGCGAAGUUCUGGAAAUGAGACCAAAUGUGUGGUGGACAUGGACCAAGCCCUGCCAGCCUGAGGAGCGCGACAGCCACUUCCUGGUCCCUUGUUGAAGGGCGGAGCCCAAAACGUUCCCGCCAAGUUUAGGGUCCUGUCCUGGGGACUAAUUUUGAAGC
rnacentral:lncRNA from 1 species